UCAUGACCUGAGCCAAAAUGAAGAGUCAGACACUUAACAUACUGAGCCACCCAGGCACCCCUUCUUUUCUUUAUUUUUAAAGAAUUGAUAUAUUACGCAUAUUGUCCCCCAACUUUUUUACUUAAUAAUAUUCUUAGCAUCUUUCCAUUUCAGCACAGACAUUUUUUUAGCAGCUGCAUAAUAGCCCAUAAAAUGGAUGCACUAUGAUUUAUUUAACCAUUUUCCUGCUAAUGGACAUUUAUGUUACAUUCAUGGCUGUAUUUCGGCUUUGUCAUGAACAUUCCUGAGCACAUAGUUUAGUAUACUUUUGCGAGUACAUCUGUAAGCUAAAUUCUUAGAAGUGAAAUUGUUUGCUCAACGAGUAUAUGCACGUAACUUUGGAUGGAUACUGACGAAGUGACCUCUGGGAAGGCUGUACCAAUUUACAUUCAUAUCAACAGCACCGAGAAUGCCAGUUUCUCGGACACUUGGUCACCAAUGGUUAUUGAGACAUUACAUCUUGGCUCAUCUGACAAAUGAAAAUGAUGGAGAAACUGACUUCUAGGGAAGCAAAAUUAAUGGUCCAAGAUUGGAGGGCAGGUCAGCACCAGAACACAUGCUGUCUGAGGUAUUACUUAGGGUUUGUAUUCUGCUGUGUACUAUAUCAAGAGGUCGAUCAUAGAGAUUUAAACCACUCAUUGUAAUCUAUUAAUAUCCUGAAGAGUUUCUUAUGACUGUAACCACCAACCCAAUGAGCCAGCAUCUCCAUCCAAUUUUUCACUUAAUGGUGUAUUUUGCCACCGUUCAGCAAUCCGGAGACUGGCUCUCUGUGCAUUGUGCUAAACCUGUUUAAGCGCAGCAGUAAAACUUUCUGCAUGUCAGUGGCCAGCUCACGGAAUGGGAGCUCCUUAUGCUCAGUCAAAGCCAACUCAAGAUAAAUCGAGUGAGAAAAAUCAAUAGUCUCACUGCCAUUUCUUACAGUUUUCAUGAAUUGUUUAACAUAAUGAAAUAGUCACAGGAACAAAACAUUCUAACACUCCCUGAUGUGUUCUUCUCAUUGUAGAGCUAUCCCAAAUUCUUCAUAAAAUUAUACCCACUUAAUUUCCAUCUUGGAUUUAGAAAUUCAUUUUUUUUUGUAUCCCUCAUGAGACUUUUAAAUAAUGACCAAAAGCUGAGUUUAUCAUUAGGAGAAUUUUAAGAAGAAAUUUGUUCUGUCACAGACUUUAACCCAAGGCACCCUAAGGACAUGGGUCCCAGCCUUCACUGUUCCCACUAUACCACCGUAGGGUUUUUCCCAGGCUGAAGAAAUAAAAAUUUUGAUUAUCCUUAUAAUUUAGAUACAUCUUGGUCUUCUCUUCUUAAACUAAAUUUAAAAAAAUGUAAAGAACCUAUAAUCUAUCAGCUAUGAAGUUAUUGCUAUAAUUUUCAAAUUGAUGGAAAAGACAUGAUCUUGAAGAAAAGAAUGGAACAAGACAAAAACAACAGGCAAUUUGAUACUUAAGCUACAUAUUACCAAGUCAUCCUUAUCAGGAAGCAAAAAAAGUGAGGUUUUAAUAUAGAAAAAAGAAAUAAAAUAUGUGUGCACUUUAAAUAGUGUAAUUAAUAGAAAAUGCUUCAGUAUGUGGUCUCACUUUUUUUUUCCAGUCAAAUGUGUGCAGCUUAACCACAGUUUGGCUGGGAAUCUGUGGUGAGGGGCCUACGUGCACUAUUUCUGUUUUUGAGAGAGUUGUUUUAUUUUUUAUCCCUUUUUCAUUUCCAGGUUAUGUUCAGUUAAUUAUUGAAAUGCUGAACAUUCUGUCCUAAUACUUGAGAUUGCUUGACUUGUGUGGGGCAAAGGGAAGCAUAAUGGAUACAAGGGAAAUUCUCCCAGUCCUGUUUUAUUGACCUUCUCUCCAAGUACAUUCAUAAGAAAUUGUGCUAAAUAAAUUGAAGUGUGCCUUUGGUUUCAGCUAAAUGCAUUUUGGAGCUAGCUUUUUAAAUACUAAUAAAAAGAGUCUGGCUUUCAGAAGUUAA